GGAUUGUGGCUCAGUGGCAGAGCGCUCACCUGGCAUGUGGGAGGCCCUGGGUUUGAACCUCAGCUCCA
rnacentral:tRNA from 1 species